GACGUAGGGCGCGAGCGUUGUCCGGAUUUAUUGGGCGUAAAGAGCUCGUAGGCGGCUUGUCGCGUCGACUGUGAAAUCCCGCGGCUCAACUGCGGGUCUGCAGCCGAUACGGGCAGGCGUAGAGUUCGGUAGGGGAGACGUGGAAUUCCUGGUGUAGCGGUGAAAUGCGCAGAUAUCAGGAGGAACACCGGUGGCGAAGGCGGGUCUCUGGGCCGAUACUGACGCUGGAGGA
rnacentral:rRNA from 1 species